CCUUUACCCGCGGCUUUAAAUUGCAGACGAAUUACGAGGAAACUUGUAAGCCGCAAGGCGUCUGUGAAGGUGCUGCAUGGUUGUCGUCAGCUCGUGCCGUGAGGUGUCGGCUUAAGUGCCAUAACGAGCGCAACCCUCGUGGUCAGUUACUAACAGGUUAAGCUGAGGACUCUGGCCAGACUGCCAUCGUAAGAUGUGAGGAAGGUGGGGAUGACGUCAAAUCAGCACGGCCCUUACGUCCGGGGCUACACACGUGUUACAAUGGGAGGUACAGAAGGCUGCUACCCGGCAACGGGAUGCCAAUCCCCAAAACCUCUCUCAGUUCGGACUGGAGUCUGCAACCCGACUCCACGAAGCUGGAUUCGCUAGUAAUCGCGCAUCAGCCACGGCGCGGUGAAUACGUUCCCGGGCCUUGUUACACACCGCCC
rnacentral:rRNA from 1 species